GUUUGAUGCUUUAUUGCUCACGAUACACAGAUUGGAACAGACACAGUUUCUCACAGCAGAGCACACAAUGCUGUACUUUCUUAAAGAAGAGUCUUUGUCCCACAAGGACACAGAAAUUAAUUCCCGGGUGAUGAAAUGAGUCAGCAUACAACAUUCUAAAACUGAUAGGAGGAGGCCAACACAUUCAGGAGAACAUCAAAAGCAACAUGCAAGUCCACAAAGUCACAAGAAAUCUGAAGCUGAUCACUACACGCUUGUCAAUACAGGUUUAAUCUUGAAGCUUAAGUUCAUGAAGGGUCUAGGUCCCUGAGCUAGCUCUGAUGUCUAUGGUUGGCAUAAUUGGAUAAAUCCAGAGUUGUUAAGGACCCCUGAAUAAUGUACCAGGUAUAAAUAUUAAAAAACAGAUGGUGAUGGUAUGAUAUAGAUUAGAAACAAAG
rnacentral:lncRNA from 1 species